GACGAACGCUGGCGGCGUGCUUAACACAUGCAAGUCGAACGGAAAGGCCCUGCUUUUGUGGGGUGCUCGAGUGGCGAACGGGUGAGUAACACGUGAGUAACCUGCCCUUGACUUUGGGAUAACUUCAGGAAACUGGGGCUAAUACCGGAUAGGAGCUCCUGCUGCAUGGUGGGGGUUGGAAAGUUUCGGCGGUUGGGGAUGGACUCGCGGCUUAUCAGCUUGUUGGUGGGGUAGUGGCUUACCAAGGCUUUGACGGGUAGCCGGCCUGAGAGGGUGACCGGCCACAUUGGGACUGAGAUACGGCCCAGACUCCUACGGGAGGCAGCAGUGGGGAAUAUUGCACAAUGGGCGGAAGCCUGAUGCAGCAACGCCGCGUGCGGAAUGACGGCCUUCGGGUUGUAAACCGCUUUCGCCUGUGGCGAAGCGUGAGUGACGGUAAUGGGUAAAGAAGCACCGGCUAACUACGUG
rnacentral:rRNA from 1 species